CUCGCUCGCUUCCUCUCCUUCGGCAGCCGCCUCCCUCCCUCCCUCCCACUCACCGCCGAUCCCGUCCCUCCUAUCCUCCCUGUUCAUCCAUAGCCCGGCGUGACCAGUGCUCGAUGAGGCGAGGGAGAGUGACCAAUCCCCGUCACGCCAAUCUCCCGUACACCCCCUGCCAUCGCGCCGCUGCCGUCGCUGCCGCUUGCCAUCCCCAGCGUCUCCUCCCCACACCCAAGGCCUCCCCUUGCUCCGCCUCUUCCUCCCAUCUCGCCAGAACCACAGCACAGGACCUCCCACGCUCGCUCGCGAGGCUGGGCAUCGCCUUCAUCGCCGGCGUGGCUCCGGCGGACUCUGGCGGCUCCUCUCCAUCUCCUCCCUCGCCCCCACAUGUGUGGUUCCGCUUCCGCUCGCCAUGGGGUGCAGCCUUGCAGGGGCGCAUCGGGCUGGGCCUCCUCUGUUUCAGAUGAGUUCAUCCCCAUCCUCCUCCUCCCCCUCCUCUCUGAUCUGCUCUACCUCUCACCCUCUAUUGUCCUUCCUUCUCUCUUAAUUUGGUGCAGCAGCCGCUGUCGGUCAAGUUCUUGGUGGAGAUGCAGCUGAUGCUCAAAGUGAUUCAUCAGGGAGGACCUCCGCCAGUAGAGGGAUGGCUUCUGUCCAAAGGCUCAGGUGAAUUUCUUUUCUUCCUUCGUUUUUUCUUCUUUAGCACAAGAAUCAUUUCACAUUGUUUUGACCGAAGGUUUGCUGCUAUAUCAAUUUAAGGUAUUGUUAUUGAACUACAAGAUAAUGUUGUUGGUCUUCCCAGAACAAAAAAAGUGUUUUUGACACUACCAUCGAUGGGGUCUUCAGCGCUUUAACCAUUGAAGGUAUUUGCAUUAGUGUUUGCAUGGGUUCAAGCAUUCAGUCAUUGCACUGACCAAAUAAAUUAUUGUGCAUAAUACCUAAUUCAUGUGAUAUUAUCCAGUUAAGUUAACGUGUUCUCCUGUUACAUUUUAGAAUCAAGAUUUUUUGUUAGAUUGACCCUCCAAUAUAUGGAAAACUAAUUCUAUUUUUUUCUAGCUUCUGAAGAUUCUAUCAAAGCAUGUGGGUUUAUAUUGGUUCUACAUUAGAGGAUUAAAUGUAUGUUUGUUACACAGUUACUACUGCUUCACAACCCCCUCUUUUUAUUCACGCUACCGCUUUAAGUGUGUGUUAUUGCAUCAAUUGGUUACAACCCGUGGUAGCCUCAUAAGUAGCUAUCUUGGUGUCAUAUUUAUAUUGGUUUCGUAUGGUAUUUGUUAUAUAAUAUACUGGGUAAGCAUGCAUUUUCCUCCUGCGGAGCAUAUCUAUAUAGAUGUGGUUUUGUAGAACUCAUUUUGUUUUCCCUGAGAAAACCACAUACUGCUGGAGAACUAUAUAUUUAUGUUAGGAUGUUCUUUUAUUGCAGUGUAAACUGCUAGCAGAGCUACACUGCGGACUACAGAGUUGAUCUGAAUCUCUGCUAUUGUAAGGUUCAAUAUAUUAUUCUUUCUGUCAGCGUUAUUCCUUGGAAACAAAAUGAUCAAAUCAUCUUCUUGGGUAUUUAUUUUUCUUUCUCAUGUUAAGUUAGCAUUUUGGUGUUGUGUAUUAUCAGAUUGUGCUCCCACUAAAUUUGUUAGCCCCUGUACUAAAGAUGUGUGGCUUGAUUAUGAAAUUAUGGUUAUGAACAUAAAGCUAAUUGGUACUCUGUUCUACACUACUCUCCCUUGGAACAUGAUCUCGCAAAAGGGAGGAAGCCAAACAUAGCUAAAAGUGUUUUCCUUCACCCAAUCCAAUGGAUUUUUCUUAGGGCCAUUUAAUACAUCAUGUAACCCCACAUAAAUUGUUGGAAACCAGAUAAAUUUAAUUUAUUUUCAAUACUCACUCCAAAAUAUUGCAGAUGCCCCAAUAAAUGGUUGGGAACUGCAAAUUGAUUACAUUGGCAGGAUCUAUAAGAUUUGUUGUUAUGUAUGUGUUCUGAAUCUGCCAAUGUAAUCAAUUUGCAGUUCUAUCAUAUUUCUUAGUUCAAGCCCCUGAGCUUAAUGCUUUUAAAUUUAUGAAUUCAAAUAGUUCUAGAUUCAGUAAAAAUGCACGAUGAUCUUUACAGAUUAUCUAUUUUUAUGUGGGACUUCUAAGAUGAUAAAUUAACAGUAAAUAAUGUGCACUUGUUACGUUUCUCUUUUUAUCACUCUACUUUAUUAAUCUUUGGUAUCUACAAAAUGUAUGCAUACUGAUAUCAUAGUGUGGUCUGAAUCAGGUGUGCUGCUUCUACUUGAAUAAAAGCUGAUAUUGCCAUGAUCCUUAGUCAUGUGUUCUUAAAAGAAAGGGUUUUGCAUGGACAGAUGGAAUCAAAAAUCUUGGGAACCUGAUAGCAUUCAUUUUUUUAUCCUGGGUGCUGCUAGAUCCUGUGUAACUGGAUGUUCUUUUCGAUGUAAGGUAAUAAAAUGUCCACCUGCAUUCAUGUCAGUGUUAGCAUUGCUGAAAGAAACAAAAAGGCAUGUUUCAUUAUAGCAGCUUUUUUUAAUAUGGCCAAACUGAUGUCGGAAAGGGUGCCUGAUCCUUUUAUAUUACAAACUUAUAGACUUAUUUAGUGGUAACACACAAGUAGUGGCUGGCCCUAUUCUAUGUUGUUCUUUAGAAAAUUGUAGAAGCUACCUUAGGGACAUGUACCUUUCAUAGGAGGAAUUGUGCCCUUGCAAUUGUUACAUAUCAUUGCCUUUUAGUCCUGUUCCCUAAAAGUAUGCAUUGAUGCUAAGUCCUUUUCUACAAUAUUAUAUCUACAUGAUUAUAUAAUCUCUCGUAUUGCUAUAUUUUUUGCAGCGGAACCAUGCCCAUGCGACGGUACUGAACAAAGUUGCGCACAUGGUUGUGGACUCUGGACACUCUACACAAAAGAAAUUUGUAUAAAUGUACAACGCUCUGUUUGAAGCCUCCUCAUAUGAUAUUGGAAGGAACUCGAGCGGAAGGCCGCCGGCGGAGCCUGUAUCAGAGGACAUGGAAGAAAUUAGCCCAAGCCCAAUGAAACUUCUCUCUGAAGCAAUGCCUAUUUAUUGCUUUUGUGUUGGUACUUUCAGUUCUUUGAGAUUCCCAUUUGUGCAAAAACAUCAGUGAUGUGGCAGAGAAGGUGGAUUGUAGCAGCAAUGUGAAAGUAUGUACAUAACAAUUUGCCUAACAAAUGAGAAUGUCUAGGAACUAAAAAGAGAUCACAUUUUGCUUUAUGUACAUUGCACUACAUAGGAGAAUAAACAUGCAUUGGGUUACAAAUACUCUACUAAUUACUAUGUGUAUGUGCUUUACUAAAAAUAAUGGUUGGUUAUACUAAAAAUAUGAGCUAAUUACGUCAUUAUCUACUCACCCAUUGUAGUGUAG
rnacentral:lncRNA from 1 species